GUGCCGAGAGGAAGUGAUCUGAGAUCACUUCCUCUAUGUGCUGCAAUGCAUAAAUUGAGGAUUGUCCUUCACCACCUCUUCGUAUUAGCAGAUAUCUGAAGUUUUACUGGGUCUCCUGAUAGCCAGAGCCUGUUUGGCUCUAGCAGCCUUGAGUGCCGUGCAAAGACACCUUGAGUGCCGUGCAUGGCACUAGUGCCGUAGGUUGCC